GCCUGGGAUUUCUCACAUUGAGCUUGAUUUCAAAUACCAGGAUUAUCACUUUUGUCCCAAAAACCUCAGUUGUUUGUCGGGAAGCUGAAGACGAGGAGAUAUUUUAGUUUUCAGCAAUACAGGUAGAAGAUCUUGACACUGGCUGUGUUUUUCUCUCAAAUGAAGGCACUAGAAGAGCUGCUGCUACUAAUAACUUCUUAUUUAUUAACAUAGAGCAUCUUCACGGCUUGUCAUGGCAGAUCGGAUUCCCAACACACCCGUCCGGAUCCGCUCCUGCUUGAACCGGCCCAGACCUUUUGGACCAGCCUCAUUUCAUGACCCCAGUGCUUCUCCUUCAGCUACUAUCAAAACAUUGUCACUGUAAGCCAAAUAAUUUCAUAAAUUUAUUACAUUUCCUCAUUUGUUAACAGUGUUUCACCUCAUCCUAAAUGCAUUUU